AUUGAACGCUGGCGGCAGGCUUAACACAUGCAAGUCGAGCGGAGAUGAGGUGCUUGCACCUUAUCUUAGCGGCGGACGGGUGAGUAAUGCUUAGGAAUCUGCCAUUUAGUGGGGGACAACAUUCCGAAAGGAAUGCUAAUACCGCAUACGUCCUACGGGAGAAAGUAGGGGAUCUUCGGACCUUGCGCUAAAUGAUGAGCCUAAGUCGGAUUAGCUAGUUGGUGGGGUAAAGGCCUACCAAGGCGACGAUCUGUAGCGGGUCUGAGAGGAUGAUCCGCCACACUGGGACUGAGACACGGCCCAGACUCCUACGGGAGGCAGCAGUGGGGAAUAUUGGACAAUGGGGGGAACCCUGAGCCAGCCAUGCCGCGUGUGUGAAGAAGGCCUUAUGGUUGUAAAGCACUUUAAGCGAGGAGGAGGCUACUGAGACUAAUACUCUUGGAUAGUGGACGUUACUCGCAGAAUAAGCACCGGCUAACUCUGUG
rnacentral:rRNA from 1 species